rnacentral:rRNA from 1 species
AUUGAACGCUGGCGGCAGGCUUAACACAUGCAAGUCGAGCGGAGCGAGGGUGCUUGCACCUUAGCUUAGCGGCGGACGGGUGAGUAAUGCUUAGGAAUCUGCCUAUUAGUGGGGGACAACAUUCCGAAAGGAAUGCUAAUACCGCAUACGCCCUACGGGGGAAAGCAGGGGAGCUUCGGACCUUGCGCUAAUAGAUGAGCCUAAGUCGGAUUAGCUAGUUGGUGGGGUAAAGGCCUACCAAGGCGACGACCUGUAGCGGGUCUGAGAGGAUGAUCCGCCACACUGGGACUGAGACACGGCCCAGACUCCUACGGGAGGCAGCAGUGGGGAAUAUUGGACAAUGGGCGGAAGCCUGAUCCAGCCAUGCCGCGUGUGUGAAGAAGGCCUUUUGGUUGUAAAGCACUUUAAGCGAGGAGGAGGCUCUUAAGGUUAAUACCCUUGAUGAGUGGACGUUACUCGCAGAAUAAGCACCGGCUAACUCUGUGCCAGCAGCCGCCGUAAGAC